rnacentral:rRNA from 1 species
CCUACGGGGGGCAGCAGUGAGGAAUAUUGGUCAAUGGACGAGAGUCUGAACCAGCCAAGUAGCGUGAAGGAUGACUGCCCUAUGGGUUGUAAACUUCUUUUAUAUGGGAAUAAAACAGGGUAUGCAUACCCUCUUGUAUGUACCAUAUGAAUAAGGAUCGGCUAACUCCGUGCCAGCAGCCGCGGUAAUACGGAGGAUCCGAGCGUUAUCCGGAUUUAUUGGGUUUAAAGGGAGCGUAGGUGGAUUGUUAAGUCAGUUGUGAAAGUUUGCGGCUCAACCGUAAAAUUGCAGUUGAUACUAGCAGUCUAGAGUACAGUAGAGGUGAGCGGAAUUCGUGGUGUAGCGGUGAAAUGCUUAGAUAUCACGAAGAACUCCGAUUGCGAAGGCAGCUCACUGGACUGCAACUGACACUGAUGCUCGAAAGUGUGGGGAUCAAACAGGAUUAGAUACCCGGGUAGUC